GACGAACCGUGCGAACGUUAUUCGGAAUCACUGGGCUUAAAGGGCGCGUAGGCGGGCCGCAUAGUCAGGGGUGAAAGCCUCCAGCUCAACUGGAGAAGUGCCUCUGAUACUGGCGGCCUCGAGGGGUGCAGGGGCGUGCGGAACUUAGGGUGGAGCGGUGAAAUGCGUAGAUAUCCUAAGGAACACCGGUGGCGAAGGCGGCACGCUGGACACCUUCUGACGCUGCGGCGCGAAAGCAUGGGGAGCGAACAGG
rnacentral:rRNA from 1 species